CGGGGCAUGUGGAGACGGCAACCGCAGGGUUGGCGGACUUGAGAAGGAGCAAAGAUGGCGGAGUGAGGCGUGUCGCAGCUCGCUGGCCUUUGGGCCGGGGGGCGGGCGGCCCCCGGGCGCUCGAGUGCUUCUUCUGGCCAGUGCGAGGUUUUGAAUCAAAACGGUCUUGUCUUCAACCAGAAGAGAUUAUUCAAGUUCAGUUUGGAAUUAAGGUAUUUCUGUGUUGUCUCCUGAGUGCGGUUGUCUUGCUCCAAUUAUUGGGCCACCUUCCCCAUUAAAAUGUGGAUAUCUCUUCUCUACACAUUACCUCUUUGAUUUGGAUUGGAAAAGGCUGCUUUUCUUUUCGUUCCACCUUCUCAGAUUCAACACAGAGAAGCUCCUGGGAUGCAUUCAUCCUGCCAACUUCUCCAGGAAAAAAGAGGCAACUGACAUGCAUCUUCUGCUGCUCUUUGCUUAAUCACAAAGAAAUUAUUUUACAUGCUAAAGGCCGGUACCUAAUUUAAAGCAGGUGCUUAAAUGGUGAUAUUUGUGAGUUCUUUACAUUUUGUUCCAAACAAGAAAACUAAAUAAAUAGCAAGUAUGGGUGACAUCAGGGUUUUUUUUUUGUUUUUUUUUAAUGUCUUCCAGUUUUUGUCACCAUCAUGAUACGCAUAGUUGAGACUGCAGCAGUAGAUUCCAAAUUAUGUGUUCUAAUUUGAAAUGAGAUGCUUUAAAAAUUACACAUAUCUAAAUCCUGGCUCAUCGUCUGACAUGGAUUUACUAGAUAAGAACAAAUGUCCAAUUUCGCAAUAAAACCUUUGAUGUCAUAAAGAAACAUAAAGACAAGAUAUCACAAGGUUAAUUUCAUAUGUGAAUAGACCAUCUCAACUAUAAAUAACGCAUUUUUACAUGUGUAAAUCCACAUUUUUGGCUGAUAAGAGGGAUUUUCUCCUAAAGAAGGAAGCUGUGCUGGCUUCUUUCUUAGAAGUCUUUGGAUACUUGGUAUUUUUAAAUUUUUUUUUCCAUUCUGCUGAGGAAAGACCACAAUGUUUAGAUGGUAACCCUAUGAAUGCCUGCUUGCGUUUAGUGAAAGGUUGGUAAAAGGAAACACAACAGUUUUGAGUCCAGUGAUGGAACCCUCUUCACCCUCCUAGGAUGAGAGACUGCUGUAUUGCAGAUUACUUCAUUCUCUUUUUGGACAUUAUAUAGCACUUGAGACUUGGUUUUACAUGCUGCUGAGGCUGGAAGAAAAGUGGCAUAAGUGGUUUUUCUGUUCAGAAGAUGUGAUGGACCCUACAGUAUGACCUGCCUUCAACUUUGGACCUAGAGGAGUGGCGGAAAAAAAUGAUGACAGUCUUCAUACUAUUCCUUUCUCCCAAGGAAAAAAAGUGAAAAUGCUUUAUGCAGCUCCAUCUGACUUUAUGGCACUUCACAUUCUACAGCUCUGUUUUCCGUAAAAGCAUAAAUGACUUCUUUUCCUUUGACCCAGGAUGGGUUCUUGGGUGUUUGAUUUAUUUUUUUCUAGGCAAAUAGGUGUAAUGUUCGGCUGAAAAGGCUGGGACUCAGGUAACUUUCCCUAGUUGGAAAUGAACUUUCUAGAGAAUGGGCCUCAGAAGAAAUGUUAGGAGGGUCAGUGUAAAUUUAGAAGAAAAUCAGGGUAUGAAAAAAAAAAAACACUUAAACAAGAAAAUAGUUCUAAUAAGAAAUAAUAGUUUUCUCUCUGUUAAAACAUACUAUCUGAUGAAUGGACUAUCGUGUAAAGCUGUCCUUGCUUCCACAUCAACAAAGGACCAUUGUAUGAUUGGCCAGGUUUUUACAUAAGAAGAAUGACACCUUAAAUUAUAAGUCCUUGUGAGUAGAGAAAGAAUUUAAAGCUGCUUAGAAGAAAUUAAGAACAAGUCAUCUCAGAUCAUCUUUGUAAUAGAGGGAAUGCCCCCAGGGUCAUACAUGCUGUGCUGCUGAAAUCUUGGGGAAGAUUUACCAGAAUUUGAGAGUAGUAGAAAUAGCCAAAAAUGUGAAAUACUGAGCACUGUUAAUGAUUAGUUAAGUUGGUCAACCAACUUGAAUUGGCAGUAAGAAAGCGUUUUAGUAAAAUAAAUAAUACAGAUAAAGCCUAAUUUCCUUUAAUUGAGGGCAAUUAUUGAGUAGUAAAGCACAGUAGAAGUAAUUUUGGAUAAAGGUAACUUAAAUUUUUCUGUAAGUAACUUCUUAGCCAUUUCCUGAUGUUUUCUUUCAGUAUUUUAGAAUCAUUAAAGACAAUGGAAACCUCCACACAUGAGUUCCAUUGCUGUGUUGAGCUUGUCAUAUAUAUCAUCAUGGAGAAUUUGCAUCUUUACAGUUGUCUGUUAUCCAUCUUACCCAUGUUUGGGGGCAACUUUUUGGCAGGAGAUAGAGUCCCUGUACUAUUAGCAACAGUGAAACCGUCUCUACUUGUUUGAAUAUAUGUAUGUACCAGACUCAGCUUCUCCAGUUGCUUUAUAUAUUUUUGUUUCACAGCUAAGAGAAUGACUGUUUAAUGCUCUCUUUCAAGUUGUUUCUGCAUUUUCUAUGAUUUUCACCAGAUGGCAUUUAGCGCAAUGGGUAUAUUCCAAUUGUGCUUACCUAGCGUUUGCUUACAUCUACAUUGUUUUUUUCUGGUCUAUUUUUGGUUCCCUUCUUGAUGGCAAAGCUAUAAUUUUAGGCAGGACUGUGCCUCAGUCUAUAGCUGUGCCUACUUCCUUUACUCAUCCAUGUUAGCUGGCAGUUUUCUUUUAAAAAGUUGAACAAAAACGGGAUAUGUGCAAUAGAAAUAUAUAUAUGUAUAUUUUAAUACUUGUGGACAAAUGUUACAAGUUGUUUAAGAACAACAAAAUCACCAAUGUCUUCCAUUUUGAGAUGUGUAUAGUUUUGUAAGCAUUAGUGCUUGGUAGCAUAUUGUAGUGCCAUGUUAGGGGUUAGUGCAUGAGCCUAGUAAUAAUUUAAACUUCAGGAUGAAUUAUUGAUAAUAACUAAUAGUGUAAAAAGAGUGGAAAAUCUAGAUCUUUUCUUUUCUCAUAAAUAUCUGAAUCUGUGAUAUUCUCCCUGGGGAAAAGAGCUUAAGGCCAAAAAGACUCAUUUAUGAAUAGAAAUGUGGGGUCACAAUGUGAAAUACUGUCUUUGAGGAUAUUUGAGCUUUUUAUGAGUAGCUGGAAACCAGCUGCCUUUAUGUCUUACAAAACCUUAAUUCAAAAUGAGGCCCUAUUUCAUGACUGCUCUCUGAGUUUGAAGUCAGAUUGUUCUGGCAUUGUUUUCACAUUGUCUUCUAGGUUUAUUAUGUUCCCAUUCCUUUUGCAUCAGAUUAUAUUUUGCAUGUCUUACCAAGAUGCUGUGUUAAUUGCUCGAGUGCUUUUCUAAUCUGCAGACCAUUUAUGUUUCCUGUCUGCGGUGUGCUAUGUGUUAAUGGAAGAACUCUGGUCAAAGUGUCUUAGAUUAAUUUUUCACAGGCAUUUCCCGUUUCUAAAUCUGCUGAAUUGUGUACUGUUGAGAUUCCAGACCUUUUCAUGAGAAUCGGAAACAUUGUUAAAUGGAGCCUGCCUAGAUUGCUGUGUAUUAACUAACUCUGCUUGGUUAUAGUAAAUUGCCUCAGACAGCUUUCACAUUUUUCUACUUUCCUUGUAGAAAUAAAAGUUGUUUUGUUCUGAAAGCAAAGAUAUUCCUACCUCUAAAAAGCUUUCUUGAGAACUCUGAAACAGUAGUUUUCUAGGGUGAUUUUUAAAUUUCAGUAUUAGGAGAGUCUAGAAUUUAUUGACGCAGAUUCUACAGUUAGUAUGAUAGGAAAGGCAAAACUUUUUAAAAAUUAUUUUAUUGGAGUAUAGUUGACUUAAAUGUCAUGUUAGCUUCAGGUUACAGCAAAGUGAAUCACUUAUGCAAAACUUUUUUAAUGUGGUGUGUCACAUGUGCAGAAGUAGGCUUAAACAAAUUGACUCUUGAGCAACAGAUCUCUAGGGACCCAGGUUUAGAUUCUCAUGGUGUACUUAAAGUAAUUGUACUCUUGGUUUCAAGUAGUUUAGUGCCUGGGAGACUCCAUUUCUGAAAACCAUUUAAACAUUUUUGAAAAAUACCUCUGAAAAGGUAAUGAAUGCAAAAUAGCACAGUAUAUAGGAAAGGAUGUUUCUUGUUAAAAAAAAAAAAAAGCCAUAAAACUAAUAAUUUUCAAGAGGUAGAAUUUUAGUAGCAAUAACAGUUUUGCAUGUCACGUUAGAUUGUAUAGUAGACUACUGCUUGAGUUUGUGAGGCUCUGUGAUCAACAGAGUUCCAUGAAAGGAAAACGAUGUUCUAGGUAAAGAGUAUAUAAAAGGUACUUUCUCUUAAAAAUAUGAAUGUGUGAAAUGUCAUUAUGUGAGAAAUAGCAUCUUUUGUGUAAGUUAAGGUUAAAACCGUAUUUGUUUCCUAGAGCAGAGGAGCAGCGCCAUUGAAUGAAACUUUUCUAAUGCUUAACCUGGAAACGUACUGCUACUGAUGUAGUCCCACUGAAGCUCAUCAUGUAGGGAUUUUGCUUCUGAUGUUUAUUUAGCAACAGGCAUUUAUAAAAUGACAUACUCUUUGCUUUGUCACCUCAUCUUUCUCCAUUAGUUUCCUGGGUGUGUAUAUAGUUAGGAUUUUUAAAAGAAAAAAAAAAAAAAAACCAAAAACCCAAGAACUGGGAUAGCUGUCUUCCUCAUGCCUAUUAGUGUAGGGAAUUUAGGAUCUAAAGGUGUAAAGCAAAAGCAUUGAAGGGAAUAGCCAAAGACAACAGUUGUUUUUUUAAACUUUCUCUAAUGUAGCAGGGCUGAGGCCUUCGGCCUGUGACUGCUUAUUUUAACAAGAACCCAGCAAACUGUUUCUCAAUCUGAGGAAACACACAGCUCUCACAUCAGGAUAUAAUAGUAGAAUAAGGGUGACUUCUUACUCCCUUUUACCUCGUGUUCAUCUUGGCUAUUUAGCACCUUGAAGAUCCCUAAAAAUACUGGGUCUGUGUUCCCUUGUUUUCCCAGGGGAAAAAACUGAAAGUGGAGUGGAUCUGAGAAAAUAGUGCCUCUUGAAUAUUAAAUUCUUUUAUGGCAACUCCAAAGGAUAGAGAGAAAUUGAUUAUAGCUCCUCUUUAAAUGUCCUAUGCCAUCAGGUGGUGUUAGAGACAUUGAGAUAACCAAGCAAUAUUUCAGACAUCUGCACGAUCAUGAGGACAUCACUGCAUAUUACAGUGAUGUCAGCAGUUUAGUUACUUAGAACAAUUAAAAGUUACUCUUAACAGCCACAUUAAUAGUUCUAAAUGCUCUAAUGAGCUACAAGUUUUUGUAGUCUCAGAGUAUGUAUUGGAUUACUUUUCAAUGUUAUGGUCUCAUGUUUACCCUUUGUGUACCUGUGAUAUGCAAAAUAUGAAGAGACCCUUGGCCUCCAGGAGUUUACAUUCUCACGGUGCUGCUGGUGCAAGCAAAUUGCUUCUAGUUUAAUUCAGAACAUUGUUUGGCUGUUAAUUAUACCAUAUUUGGAAGGAUUUCUUGGCCAACAGUUUUCAGAAGCAGAGGGCUAUGCUAUACUUCAGGGCAUUGAUUUUGAGUUUACAUUGUAUUAGCUUUGCUAUUCAUAAACUCCUUUUCCCCAGGGAGCUGUGCAGGUAAUGCUCAUUAAUGUGAAUCAGAGAAAAAAAAAAAAGAAAAAACAACAUUCUGCCUAAGAGCCUCUUCACCAUCUUUAUACUAUACCACAUAUGCUCUUCUAUGCUAUCACCAUCAGUGGAUGGCCAGGAAAAUUUACUGCUCUGGAGAGGACAUCUCUCAGUAUUCUUUUCCCAAAUUUUUACAUCAUACUCUAUCCAAAAGGACCAGCAUUUGCAAUGAAGGUUUUUAUAACUGAAUAGUGUUCCUAAUUUUAACCCUUUGUGUGACUUUUGUACCUCUCUUCUGAAGCAGCAUUGUGGUAGAUGUGGAGCACCUGCCUGCCUUUCUAAGCAAUCACUUUACUAACCCACAUUUUCAGUUGAAACUUUGCAUGUAUCCUUGUUAUAUCCCCCUAAUUCCUCUGAGUCAAGGGGUUUACUCUGCAUGUUUAUUAAAACUGGGUCUGGAUUAAAGUGAGCAAUAGUGGCAGGCCCAUAACUCUUAUUUUAGAGUAUCUUAUUCUAAUGCAUGUUUGAAAAUGUUCAGUGUUAAUGUGGUUACUUGUAGCUAUAUGUAUGCAUUUAUUAAUAAGGAAGCAAUAGAGACUUAAACAAGUAGCUUGAAUUUAUUGUGUGGAUUGUUAGUUUUUUCUAAUUAAAGAUUAUCUUACUUCCAUUGAAAAUGGGAGCUAGAAGAUAAACAGGGGCAACCACAAGACAUUCAAACUGUCAGGAAUAGAGCACAAUAGUGCUCACCCUCUAACCUCUUUCCUAGUUCCAUUAGUCCCCAAGCAUGUUUAAAAACAAAAGGCACAAACUAAGCAUGUUGAAUAAGUAAGCUGCUACGACUAUAAUAGAAAGGUGCAGAGUUUCAGAAAGGGUUUGGAAAUUACCAGUAUCUUGGGAUGGGGUUUGUCUGAUAAAGUUUAUAAUGGCUUAAGGUUGGUCUCUUAAAACUAGAAUCCUGCAGGUGAACAGAGUGAUAUGUACAUAUUUCAGAUGUUCCAGGAUUUUCAGAUAACUAGGCAACUUUGGAUGGUACUGGUAUUAACCAUCCAUAAAGGAUCCUUUCCACAAAGGAGCCCAUUUCAUUUUGUGGAAAUAGUCCUGAAAAUAUAGUUUGGUUUCUCUUUUUUUAGUGUUUUAUAUUUAAACUUUUAGAAGAAAUUGCUUAUAGCCAGAGUUUUAUCCUUGAGUUUUGGUUAGACUUAAUUGUUGCCUAAAGCUUGAUGCAAGUAUAGAGGAGCAAGUUUUCCCAUUGUGUGUGUGUGGGGGGGAAGCUUUGCUGUUUAUUUUCUUACUUGAUGAAGAAGAUAGAUCAGUUUAUUGUGGUAGCUUAAAAUUUUUGAGAUGAUUCCUGACUUUGAAAUAACCCUUAUAAGUACCUGUGACCAUGAAAAGUAAAAUUCAUUAUAUCUGAAAGAGGCCUAAAUAGAAGAGAAUCCAGGAUUAGACUGGAUGAUUUUUACCAGGCCCCUUCCAGGUUUCAUGUUCUAUGAUUGAAAAAUAUUUUUUCUAAAGUUAUUUCAACUCAUGUUAAUCUUUGCUGUGAGAUUUUACUCCAUAUACCUUUAGGAAUGUUUACAUGGAAUAUUAACUUUCAAGGAAUUCAGAAUUGAAUUACUGUAGUCAUUUUACUUAGUUCAGGAAGUGGAAUGUCAUAUCCCACAUGUACAGAUUCUAUGUGGCAGAAUAGACAGUAACAUGUCUGCCAAACAAUGAAACCAAUAAAGAUUUAAGGACAGAGUCUCUCUAAACUGUGUUCCUGUUAUUUCACUAGGGCGUAUUAAACUGUUAUUAGAAACCCAGACAUCACAGAUUUCUCUAGGAACCUGUACUAAAUCUCCUUCUUUAAGUCAGAAUAGUUAUCUUUAAAGUUAGAAUUUUCAAAAGGUUUGCAUCCCUUAAUCUAUGUCAUGCCAUAGAUUACAAUAUGUUUUUCUCCAAGGGAUAAGAAAACUAUUCUGGCAAUACAUUAUCAUCAAUCCUUAAACAACAGUAACAGUCUUUUGGUGCUUAACUUAAAACCACCUAUUACUGGUAAUUUAAAAGAUUCAUUUUAGAAUAACCUUUUUUUUUAAUUUUUAUUAGAAUAUAGUUGAUUUACAAAGUUGUGUUAGUUUCAGGUGUACAGGAAAGUAAAUCAGUUAUAUAUAUAUGUCCAUUCCUUCUCAGAUUUUUUUUCCCAUACAUGUCAUUACACAGUGCUGGGUAGAUUUCUUUGUGUCACAGGAUUUUAAGUAGUUGUUGCUGUUUUUACCUGCUAUUUAGCACCUUCUCCAUUGCUCCAUUGGUAUAAAAGAUACUAUUAAAGAAUUUCAUUGAAUGUUUGAAGUUUUACAAAAGGCAGCUUGCUUUCUAAUCUAUGCAUCUUUGGGAAUUUAAAAAAAAAUUUAUUCUUUGCUGUAAAGAGAAACUGCUGUAAGAUUGGGAUCUCUGCACCUGUGUACAUAUAUAUUUUGGCAAUAAAGCAGCAUGGGCUGAGAAUGCACUGAAAA